AACGAACGCUGGCGGCAUGCCUAAUACAUGCAAGUCGAACGAGACCUUCGGGUCUAGUGGCGCACGGGUGCGUAACGCGUGGGAAUCUGCCCUUGGGUUCGGAAUAACAGCGGGAAACUGCUGCUAAUACCGGAUGAUGACGUAAGUCCAAAGAUUUAUCGCCCAGGGAUGAGCCCGCGUAGGAUUAGCUAGUUGGUGGGGUAAAGGCCUACCAAGGCGACGAUCCUUAGCUGGUCUGAGAGGAUGAUCAGCCACACUGGGACUGCGACACGGCCCAGUAUCGUACGGGAGGCAGGAGUAUGGAAUAUUGGACAAGGGGCGAUAGCCUGAUCCAGCAAUGCCGCGUGAGUGAUGAAGGGCUUUGUGUUGUAAAGCUCUUUUACCCGAGAUGAUAAUGACGGUAUUGGGAGAAUAAGCUCCGGCUAACUCCGUGCCAGCCGCCGCCGUAA
rnacentral:rRNA from 1 species